rnacentral:lncRNA from 1 species
UUAUCAAAAUACAAAUGCUUGUGAUUUGAGCCCUUCAUUUAUUAUAUUCCACCCACCCUGCUCAUCAUACUCUUUGUCGUAGAGAGUGUGUCCCUUGCUGCCACCAAACCGCUCCAAGAAGCCCAGUGAAAUGGAGCAGCCUCUCUCCUGCAACCCACACUCUCUGGGGUGACUUCGUCCAGCAGACUUGUCUUCUGCUUCCCGUGACCAGAUGCGUUGCGUACUGCAGUGUAAUACUGACGGACUGAGCUGGCAGAGAACGUGGACAUUCAUGAUAGAGCCUCUAAGCAUGGAAGACUCUUGCUGAAGCAAGGAAGUCUGUACUGGAUCUGAGUGACUAGGAGAUCAUCCACCGAUGGUCAACUUUGAUUCGGUACUAAGCAGCCAGUCUAAAAACCACAAGGGAGUGCUUUUGUGUUGGAAAAUGUGUCAUGCUCGCCAAGCUGUUCACAGAAUCAACUAGGUUGGAAAGGACCUUGAAGAUCAUCCAGUCCAACCGUUAACCCAGCACUGACAGUUCCCAGCUCCCCCAGAUCCCUCAGCGCUGUGUCGAUCCUACUCUUAAACACCUCCAGGGAGAGAUAAUGGGAAGCAUUAUGUUCAGAUAAUGGGAAGCACAGCUGAGAAACCUGCGGCUUCCAGGUCAGGUAGGAUGCAGAACUUCUUUUUGUGAAGCCUCUGGAAAAAAACCACGGAUGGCUGUAGUGGACCAAUGUCUUGCCUCUCAUCAGGACCCAUCCCACUACCCUGUUUCAUGAGCUGACCCAACAGUGCUGUGUGCUGUGAGCUUCUCCCCAGCACGUGGGCAUAUAUAAUAAUGUUAUAAAACUUUUCCACUGGCAAAAAUACAAGGUGAGGGGUGUUUUUUUGUGUGUGUGAAAUUUCUCUCUCUCCUCUAUUAGUGUUUUGCUUAUCUUCAGGCCUUUCUUCUCAAAUACCAGCAGAUUGCUGACCAGCUUCCCUUCUUCAGGGAAAACAUGUCUUUGUGGUGAAGAUCACAUCAUCUGGGUGAGAUGGUCUCUAUGACCCCAGGCAAAUAAAUCACUUGCUUUGUUCUUUGACUUGGCUCUC